CUAGCCUGCCCAGUGAUUUUUUAACGGCCGCGGUAUAUUGACCGUGCAAAGGUAGCAUAAUCAUUAGUCUUUUAAUAGAAGGCUGGAAUGAAAGGUUUAACGAAAAAUUAGCUGUCUCAAUUAUAAAUUGGAACUUAGCUUUUAAGUCAAAAGGCUUAAAUUCAAUUGAUGGACGAGAAGACCCUAUAGAGCUUUACAUUUUAUUUUAAUAAAUCUAUUUGGAUAAAUAAUUUUAAUUUAUUAAUUUAAAUGUUUUGUUGGGGUGACAAGAAAUAUAUGAUUAACUUUUAUUAUUUAAUAUACAUUUAUAUAUGGUUAUUGGAUCCAGUAUUAUUGAUCAUUAGAAUAAGUUACCUUAGGGAUAACAGCGUAAUCUUCCUUCAGAGUUCAAAUUUACAGGAAGGCUUGCGACCUCGAUGUUGGAUUAAGAUAAUAAUUAGGUGCAGUAGCUUAAUUAAUAGGUCUGUUCGACCUUUAAAUUCUU
rnacentral:rRNA from 1 species